rnacentral:rRNA from 1 species
UACGGAGGGAGCUAGCGUUGUUCGGAAUUACUGGGCGUAAAGCGCACGUAGGCGGCUAUUCAAGUCGGGGGUGAAAGCCCGGAGCUCAACUCCGGAAAUGCCAUUGAAACUGUGAGACUUGAGGACGAGAGAGGUGAGUGGAAUUCCCAGUGUAGAGGUGAAAUUCUAGAUAUUGGGAAGAACACCGGUGGCGAAGGCGGCUCACUGGCUCGUAUCUGACGCUCAGGCGCGACAGCGUGGGGAUCAAACAGG